rnacentral:lncRNA from 1 species
GUGAGGAGGAAGCAUCGGCCGCAUCCAGGCGUGUUUCACUGCUGCACCUUCUGUUCCAGUGGAGGCCAGAAGACUGCACGCUGUGCCUGCGGAGGCACCAUGCCAGGUAAGCAUGGCCGGUGUCCUCAAGCCCGCUGGCCCAAGCAGCAGCAAGCAAGGGGCCUUCCCUUCACUGCCUCACAGCGCUAGGUCAGGGGGUUCAGACUGAGGCUUUUCUUAUAGAAUCCGAGCCUCUCGUGUAGAGGCAGGACAGAUACCCUGUACAGCAAGUCUCUUGUUCUGAAUUAAAAUGACAGGCUUCAAGGUUCACCAGUCCAUGGGCCUUCUGACCAGAAUCUGGGGUUCUCAGAUUCAGUCUAUACCCAUUCUGAGUACUGAGAAAUAGAGAUCCAUAUAAAAACCGUGGGGACCAGGGGAGUAGAUGACUGAGCAGUGUCCUUUGGACCUCCGGAAAGAGUCCUCUGUUGUAGUAGUUGUGGUUGUCGUUCUAUCAUGGGGCUGGGGGAGAUCCAAUCAUGAGAGCACUGGCUGCUGUUCCAGAAGACCCAAGUUCAGUUCCCACCACUUGGGGCUCACAACUGUUGAUUACUCCAGUUAAAGGGAUUUGACGGCUCCUUUCUGAUACCAGCCUCACACAUGGUACAUAGACAUACACGCAGACCAAAUGCUCAAUACAUAUACAUAGAAUAAAAAAAA